CACAGAAACGAUUCUGGUGUCUAUGGUCUGCAGUUCUAUGUUCAGUCUUCAGUAAAGGGUCCUGGACAUAUUGAUUCAAGGGUCGAGUCACUACUCAAGGAUCUUGAGCGUAAACUUUACAUGAUGAGCGAUGAGGAAUUUAAGAGCAACGUAACAGCUUUGAUAGACAUGAAGCUUGAAAAAGCCAAGAACUUGAA